rnacentral:lncRNA from 1 species
GAAAAUAAAACAGCCUGUAGAGGAAGCGAUGCUCUGUGGAAGCCACUCACCCCCUCAAGAAUGCUGCUGAAAUGAUUAUUUAACAAGAAAUUCUGCCCCUCACCCUGGCAAGAAAAUGAAACACAACUGGCACAAAAUGCAGCCCGCUCUCCUCCCGCAGCUGCCGUUCCGCCUAAUUGCACCACGCUCCCCUGCACAAACCCCAAGCUAAAACCUGAAGCCCCAACAGCAAAACCUGAUUGGAUGGGUGCGCUGCGUCCUCCGUGGAAAUAACGAAGAGGAGCCAAACGUUCUUCCUUGAGCUCCUUGCAGAACAGGCAGUCAGCAGCCGAGGGCAAGCAACGGAUCAGCAGAAAAAGGUCCACAAAGCUGGAUAAAUUCCUCUGAAGGGGGCAUGCAGCAGCAGGCACGGCAAGCUCCUGAGGGCAGGGAACUUGCACCGAAACACACAGAGCUCCCUGUAAAACUGUAGACGUGAAAGAGAUGCUGGAAGGAAAGCACACAAACACACACACAGUGAUUUUAGCUCAAUUACAGCUCCGGUGUUAAACUGCAGCAGCUGGAAUGGAGCGCAAAGGGGGGAAACCCCCAGAAGGAAAAAAGCCCCAAAUUGGUUUCAGCUCCAAAACUAGAGAUAACAACUCCUGAACAUCAAGCAGUUUAGAAAUCAAGCAACACCAGCAGCGAAUGAUGGAAAUUCUCUGUAAAAGAAAUGGAGCUUUUUCUGUGAAGCUACAGCAAAUUCCACGAGGUGCCCUGCAGCUCAAGAACAAAGGCAACAAAGAAGCAAGGCAGGAAAGCUCCAGGCAACGCAGAUAAGAUCUCCGACAAACAGGAACAGCUGACAGGCGGGAAAAAAACGUGGGGGCUAGCUGGCGAAAAGAGGGUGAGCCCCCUCUGCGCCGGCCCUAAAUAGGGCAGACACGGCCGGGAUUCCCCUGCUCUCGCGGGGGCCGAAACCAGCCCCCGCUCACGUGGGGGGUGGGUGUGAAGCCCGCAACCCCACCUCCUGGGCAGGCCGGAAGUGGCUUUGUGCUUAUUUCAAUUCGCAUGGGGUUUUAUGGGUGUGCACCAGAAUCACCCCCAACCAAAGCAAAAAGGUCUUUUGGGUUCCAUCUACAUAAAAAGAAGAUGAUAAAGCUCUGAUUGGGCUUAUUUCAAAUUGGUGUUUUUGGGGUUAGAAUGCACAUUCACCCAAAUAUCGCAGAGUGACAUGUUUAUCAGCCCAAUCCAAGCUGAUAAUUGGUGUUUUUGGGGUUAGAAUGCACAUUCACCCAAAAAUCGCAGAGUGACAUGUUUAUUAUCAGCCG